UCUACAGUUUAUAUUGUUGGUCACCUAAGUGUAGCGAUCUCCUUGAUCAUUUUCUCUCAAAACUUUUGGAGAUAAUGGCAGCUUUUGGAUUAAAACAUUUCCUGUGAGUUUGCAUGCAAACCAGUUUACUGUGAUCACACAGUGGCCAGUCAUGGGAGCAUAAGCAACCUGCCCUUUUCCUGUCUUUCGUACUGUUACCAUAAGCACCAGUAACUCCAGGUGCCGCAAGCUUAAAAUAAAAGCCCUAAAGUCAUUGGCUUCUCCCAUGCCCUGUGCUGGGUUCAGAACAUGCUGUUGAACAUCAACGUUCCUAUGGUUAUGACUGGCAAAACAGCUGAAAAACUGUACGAUAGGAUACUGCUAAGUUUUAUAAAAGAAACAGACAGUAUUUGGAACAUUGUUAUCCUUCUAUAGUGUCUAAAAAUA
rnacentral:lncRNA from 1 species